UGACAUCUUUAACGAUGCCUUGCUCAACAGUACUGUUCCAUUCACAGCAGAUUGAAACGUUCUCUUGAUAUCAUGAUGAUGUCGGUAAGUUAAUGAUCAAAACUCAAAUGUUGAUGUUUUUUAAUAAAUAAUGUUCAUUUACAUAGAGAUUUAAACUCAAACGGGGAACAAAGGCACGAGAAGGAAGUUCUUACAGAAAACAUGAUUUGUUUCAUUGAGCCGAGUCGUCUGGACAUUUGUUGAAGUCUGAACGUGUCAGACGCUGCGUAACAUGUUUGUCCAAAGUGUUCCAUGUCACAUUCACAUUACAUGUUUAUUACCUGACCUGUACAUCAGAAGUGGAGGGGAUACACCUGCAGUGUGAAACUACUGGAUGUUUGUGAUGUCAGAGUGACAUCAGUGGAUAUUUGUAAGGACAUGUCAGUACAUCUCCAGUCGUGUUUCUGGUGACCUAAUCUGGGUGUUUUAACAGAGACUGCUGGUCAUUUUCAGCCGUGUAUGUGGCAUCAAAACUGGAUAUUUCUUUGCCUGAAGUUGGGCCAUCUGUAGUUGUGUUUAUGGCAACCGAACCAGGCGUCGUUAAGGAAACUCUGGAACAUUUUCAGACAAGUUUGUAGCGACCAGAGCAGGUACUUUAAGCCAAACCACAAUGUGAUGAAGUGGUUUUUCUGUCCAAAUCCAACAAGAGCAUCAGCACAACAUUGUGACAAGAGAGAAAUUCAAACGUAAACAAGCAUGAAGCUGCAACAUAAAGAAAUAAAAGCUUCAGGUUAUUUGCUGUUUUCCAGAACUGUACAAACAUUUAUUCUGCAGACUGGGUCGGUUUCAACAGGUAAGAAUCUAGAAAUAACAGAUGUUGUAUUGUAAAAAAAAAUGUAUCUAUCUAAUAUUUACAUAAAACGCAAGUCAAAAUAUUAUACAUGUUCACAAUUUAAAUAAAACAACUGACAUCAUCAACCACAGUCAUGUCUGACAUCACAAACAGCUGACUGGUCACUUUGGAUGCUUUCCAGAUGUUUUGGGGUUCUGCAGUAAACAGUACGUGUUGUCAGUCGGCUGUGAAGAACCUAUGGAUCUAGAGAAAAUCACAAAAAAUUACUUUUCAUUAAUCUUUUGAUGAUGUAGACUUUUUUUCCUGUUAUCUCAAAUCUUACACUUAAAUGGCCGUUUUAAAGGAAAA
rnacentral:lncRNA from 1 species